rnacentral:rRNA from 1 species
CAUAGCUUCUUGCCUUUUAUAAGAAGUGAUGCCUGCCCAGUGAUUUUUUCAACGGCCGCGGUAUUUUGACCGUGCUAAGGUAGCAUAAUAAUUUGUUUUUUAAAUAAAAACUAGUAUGAAUGGCUUUACAUUUUCUAACUGUCUCUCUUUUUUUUCUUUAAAAUUUCUAUUUUUGUGAAGAAGCAAAAAUAUUUUAGUAAGACGAGAAGACCCUAUCGAGCUUUAGUUAAUAGAAUAAUUAUUUCAUUUUAUUUUUAAACUUUGGUUGGGGCAACCAUGGAGAAAUAUAAACCUCCAGAUUUUAAAGAAGAUUCUAAAUCUCUUUUUUAUUUAUUGAACCAAUUUUUUUGGUAAUCAGAAUUAGUUACCGUAGGGAUAACAGCGUAAUCUUCUUUGAGAGUUCUUAUUGACAAGAAGGUUUGCGACCUCGAUGUUGGAUUGGGAUUACCAAAAAGUGCAGCCGCUUUUUUAGGUUGGACUGUUCGUCCAUUAAAAUCCUACGUGAUC